rnacentral:rRNA from 1 species
AGAGUUUGAUCCUGGCUCAGGACAAACGCUGACGGUGUGCUUUAGACAUGCAAGUCGAACGAGAAAGCCCUUCGGGGUGAGUACAGUGGCGAACGGGUGAGUAACACGUGGGUAACCUGCCCCUCGCAGGGGGACAACCGGGGGAAACCCCGGCUAAUACCCCGUACGCUUGCCGGGUCGCAUGGCCCGGCAAGGAAAGGUAGCUUCGGCCAUCCGGCGAGGGAUGGGCCCGCGGUGCAUUAGCUAGUUGGUGGGGUAACGGCUCACCAAGGCGACGAUGCAUAGCUGGUCUGAGAGGAUGAUCAGCCACACUGGGACUGAGACACGGCCCAGACUCCUACGGGAGGCAGCAGUCGGGAAUCUUGCGCAAUGGGCGAAAGCCUGACGCAGCAACACCGUGUGGGCGAUGAAGGCCUUCGGGUCGUAAAGCCCUGUUGUUGGGGACGAAGGGCGAAGGGUUAAUAGCCCCUAGCCUGACGGUACCCUUCGAGGAAGCCCCGGCUAACUACGUGCCAGCAGCCGCGGUAAUACGUAGGGGGCGAGCGUUGUCCGGAAUUAUUGGGCGUAAAGAGCGUGUAGGCGGUUUGGUAAGUCUGCCGUGAAAACCCGGGGCUCAACCCCGGGCGUGCGGUGGAUACUGCCAGGCUAGAGUCCGGAAGAGGCGAGUGGAAUUCCUGGUGUAGCGGUGGAAUGCGCAGAUAUCAGGAGGAACACCAACGGCGAAGGCAGCUCGCUGGGACGGUACUGACGCUGAGGCGCGAAAGCGUGGGGAGCGAACAGGAUUAGAUACCCCCGUAGUCC